rnacentral:rRNA from 1 species
CCUACGGGGGGCUGCAGUGGGGAAUAUUGGACAAUGGGGGCAACCCUGAUCCAGCCAUGCCGCGUGUGUGAAGAAGGCCCUCGGGUUGUAAAGCACUUUCAGUGAGGAAGAACGCCUGGUGGUUAAUACCCAUCAGGAAAGACAUCACUCACAGAAGAAGCACCGGCUAACUCCGUGCCAGCAGCCGCGGUAAUACGGAGGGUGCGAGCGUUAAUCGGAAUUACUGGGCGUAAAGCGCGCGUAGGUGGCUUGAUAAGCCGGUUGUGAAAGCCCCGGGCUCAACCUGGGAGCGGCAUCCGGAACUGUCAAGCUAGAGUGCAGGAGAGGAAGGUAGAAUUCCCGGUGUAGCGGUGAAAUGCGUAGAGAUCGGGAGGAAUACCAGUGGCGAAGGCGGCCUUCUGGACUGACACUGACACUGAGGUGCGAAAGCGUGGGUAGCAAACAGGAUUAGAUACCCUUGUAGUC